ensembl:snRNA LOC120103219 U6 spliceosomal RNA
UCUCUCACCUCAGCAGCACAUGCACUAAGUUGCAGGGAUACAGAGAAGAUUAGCAUAGCCCUUGUACAAGGAUGGCAUGCAAAUGCAUGAAACAUUAUAUACUAUU